AGUGAAAAUUCGAGUUUCAGAAUUUGUUUCGUGCGGUAUUUCAGUUCUGUAUUUUCAAUCUUGGAAGUGUAAUACCCAUGGAAGCAUUUUCGAAUUUGACCAA
rnacentral:pre_miRNA from 1 species